GGCCCGCGGGGUGUAUACACGUUGGAUUGCAAAUCUGAAGUAGCAGGCUAGCGCCUGCCGGGGCUU
rnacentral:tRNA from 1 species